rnacentral:rRNA from 1 species
GACCUCAAAUCAGGUAGGACUACCCGCUGAACUUGAGCAUAUCA